rnacentral:rRNA from 1 species
UACGGAGGAUUCCAAGCGUUAUCCGGAUUUAUUGGGUUUAAAGGGUGCGUAGGCGGGCUGUUAAGUCAGUGGUGAAAGGUUGACGCUCAACGUUAACAUUGCCAUUGAAACUGGCGGUCUUGAGUGCAAAUGAGGUAGGCGGAAUGUGUUGUGUAGCGGUGAAAUGCAUAGAUAUGACACAGAACACCGAUUGCGAAGGCAGCUUACUGGAAUGUAACUGACGCUGAGGCACGAAAGCGUGGGGAUCAAACAGGAUUAGAUACCCUGGUAGUCCACGCAGUAAACGAUGAUUACUAGCUGUUAGCGAUAGAAUGUUAGUGGCUAAGCGAAAGCGAUAAGUAUUCCACCUGGGGAGUACGCCGGCAACGGUGAAACUCAAAGGAAUUGACGGGGGCCCGCACAAGCGGAGGAACAUGUGGUUUAAUUCGAUGAUACGCGAGGAACCUUACCCAGGCUUAAAUUGCAGAUGAAUAUAGUGGAAACAUUAUAGCCUUCGGGCAUCUGUGAAGGUGCUGCAUGGUUGUCGUCAGCUCGUGCCGUGAGGUGUCGGCUUAAGUGCCAUAACGAGCGCAACCCUUAUUGAUAGUUACUAACAGGUUAAGCUGAGGACUCUAAUGAGACUGCCAUCGUAAGAUGCGAGGAAGGUGGGGAUGACGUCAAAUCAGCACGGCCCUUACGUCCGGGGCGACACACGUGUUACAAUGGAGGGUACAGAGGGUCGCUACCUAGUGAUAGGAUGCUAAUCUCGAAAGCCUUUCGUAGUUCGGAUUGGAGUCUGCAACUCGACUCCAUGAAGCCGGAUUCGCUAGUAAUCGCGCAUCAGCCAUGGCGCGGUGAAUACGUUCCCGGGCCUUGUACACACCGCCCGUCAAGCCAUGGGAGUUGGGGGUGCCUAAAGAUUGUGACCGCAAGGAGCGAUUUAGGGCAAAACCGGUGACUGGGGCU